rnacentral:lncRNA from 1 species
UUAAGUAGAAAUUGGAUCUUCAGUUUCUGACACCUCAGUAAGGCAACCAAGACCUUUUCAGCUAUAACAGCAAGAAGGCAGACACACACAAACUUGUCCUAAAGUUUAGCUCUUCCAAUUGCAGUAGGAAGUUCUCUAAGACUUAGUUCGGGCAGAGACAAAAGCAGAAUUAAAGCAACUAAAAGCAGAUGUGAGCUUUCUGAAAAAAGAAGGAAUAUAAAUUCAACCCAGUUUUGUCUGCUGCUCCAGCUCUGAGAACCAUCCUGCUUACUAAGAACAAGCUUCCUGAUGGCAGUUUGGCCAGGAGGGGACGAUCUGCUUUCCUGAUUAAGUAUCUCUGCUGAAGCAUUACUGCUUUCAGUGAUGACUGUCCUUUUUAAAAAUGACUAUGUUUUUGAGUCUCACCUUCCCUCAGUCAGGAAUGUAAUGGGCUUCUUAAGAAACUGGAGUUGCA